AAAUUAAAAAUAUUAUUAUCGGAUAAUUGCACCGCAAAGACGAAAACGUUAUAACUUAUUAUAAGGUUAGGGACUUCUAGCGUUUACGUAUUAUUUUUGAAAGAUUAAAAAAAUUAUCUGAGCCAAACAUAAAUACUGUUCACCGUGUACGGGAUCUAAACUAUACGUUUUGCAUAUGUUUGCGUGUAUUACAGCGUUUUUGCUUUUUAGAGCGUGUUUUAGCAU